rnacentral:rRNA from 1 species
CCUACGGGAGGCAGCAGUAGGGAAUCUUCCACAAUGGGCGAAAGCCUGAUGGAGCAACGCCGCGUGGGUGAAGAAGGUCUUCGGAACGUAAAACCCUGUUGUUAGAGAAGAAAGUGCGUGAGAGUAACUGUUCACGUGUCGACGGUAUCGAACCAGAAAGCCACGGCUAACUACGUGCCAGCAGCCGCGGUAAUACGUAGGUGGCAAGCGUUCUCCGGCUUUAUUGGGCGUAAGGGGAACGCAGGCGGUCUUUUAAGUCUGAUGUGAAAGCCUUCGGCUUACCCGGAGUAGUGCAUUGGAAACUGGGAGACUUGCGUGCAGAAGCGGAGAGUGGAACUCCAUGUGUAGCGGU